GACCAGGGCUGUUAGUGUGGGUCCUCCCGCAUUCCACAGCCUCCAGAUCCUCGGUCACCUGCCCAGGGGCUGGGGAAGCUCGUGGAAGAAGAGGUCCCAUAGAGAGAUCUGCAUCCAGAUCCUUGGCUCCGCCCCAUCACCUGUGAUCUUGGGCAGUCUGCCGCCCUUCUCCGCGCCCACCUUCCCUGGCUGCUCAAUUUCUUCAUCAGCCAAAAAACACAGUUCACAGCAACAUUCUUCAUAAUAGGUGAAAAGGAGAAACAACCCAAAUGCCCAGCACCUGAUGAGUGGCUAAAUAUAUUCCUCAGCCAUGAAAAGAAAUGAGAGUACCGCUAUCUGCUACCUGGAUGAACUUGAAAAACUUUCUGCUAAGUGAAAGAAGCCAGUCGCAAAAAUGCUACAUAUUAUACAAUCUCAUUUCUAGGAAAUGUCCAGAGUGGGCAAAUCCACAAAGACAGAAAGUAGAUGAAUGGCUGCCGGGGGCUAAGGAGAGGGAAGAAUGAGGAACCAUGGCAAAAGGAUAUAAUGUUUCUUUUUUUGGGUAAUGAGAAUGUUCUGGUUUUAGCCAGUGGUGAUGGUCGUGCAAACCUGUGAACAUCAGAAAGACCACUGACUUGUACACUCUAGACGGUGAAAUCUGUGCUAUGUGGAUUUUAUCUCAAUAAAAAAAGUACACAGUAACCCCUUCCUCAUAGGGCUGUUGGGAGCAUUAAGUGGGACAAGGUGUGGAAAAGGAACACAGUGCCUGGCCUGGCACAGAACUGGCCCUCGGAAAUGUCACUCCUCCCUGGAACCUUACAGAUCAUCUUGACCACUAUCACCCAACCCACUUCUGUCCCAGUGACAGGAGAGGCUAAGCACUCCUCCCUACAGCUCAGUUCCCCUUGAUCAUGCAGCAAGCCAGAGCCCAUCCCCAGGAGCCCCAGAAGAGCCUGUAGCUCCAACACGGCCCCUGCCACAAAGGGAGAACUAGGGGGGAAUUGGGGGAGGGGAAUGUCAUCCCAGGGUCAAGGCGAAAAUACACAAAGGCCAAUGUUUAUUAUUUUAACUACGAUUUCAACAAGGCCCAGUAAUAGUUAUUCAUAGAGAAAUGGUUGGUUUUCCCAGUUGUGUUGACCAGAAGGUCGACCUGCUACCUCCCCGUCCCAUACAGGCUCAAUGACCCAAGGUUCCUUCUUAUCCUCAGGCCUGACACUUUGCUUACAGGCACAACGGCACAUCUGAGAAUGUACCGAGGACAAAGAUGAGUACGAUGGCACAUACUUAGUACAGAGCAGGUCUGGGCUGAUAGCCACAUGAGGGCAUGCAGAAAGCCAAAUGGCUUGGGAAUCAGGCAACCCUCAAGUUCUAGACCUGGGUCUGUCACAGUCUAGCUGUGUGGCCUCGGGCCAAUCACUUCUUCUGGACUUUAAUUUACUCAAACGUAGCUAGCAGGUGAUGUCUGAGAUUCUAAGAUUUUAGGAUUAUUCAGUGAAGAGUCAUACGUGGAUAAACCUAUUCCCGAACAUAUAGAACACCAUUUGGGCACACAUACAGACCGUAGACACAACCUUCCACACCUGAACAUAUGUACCCCAGUUUCUGCCAUACUUGUCAUAACCUGGACAUAUAGAUGUCCACACUUAGAACCCCUGUCUGUCUCCAGGCUCUCUUCCCAUCACUCCUAGAGUAAAAUAAGACUGAGGGGCAAAGACAAGUCCCAACUGGCUGAGUAAGGAGGCCAGGGCAGAAGCCAGGGCUCUGACACCAAUGGGGCCUGAACAGGGCCUCUGCCUUUUUUUUUUUUUUUUUUUUAAAUGUUUAUUCAUUUUUUGAGAGCAAGAGAGACAGACAGAGCAUGAGUGGGGGAGGGGCAGAGAGAGAGGGAGACGCCCCAGGUCUCUGCCUUUCUUAAUUCAUCAGAAAGGCUCUGCUGGCACCUCCAAUCGCACAACCAGCCUCAGCAUCACUAGUGAGUGCAGGGACAGGCCGCCCUUGUCCUCACCUGGUUUCCAUCCAGACUGGAGAAACCAGACUGGCCUUCACAUCACUUUGGGCUAUUUGCUGUGGUGGAAAGAGCAUUUGACCUUGGGGCCAAAGAUGUAGUUUUCAGUCUUGCUGCUCUGCCUAUCAGCUGUGUGACAAACCCCUUAACCUCUCUGGGCCUUAGUUUCCAGAUCUGUAAAAUGAAGCCCAUAUGACCAAGCCUGUGAGGAGUAAACAAGAUGAUGGGUGUCGGCGCAUCAAUCAAGGAAUGGGAGCUCAUUCUUUACAGGCUCUUUAUAAACUGUACAAAUGUUUGCGUGGUUUUCUUUUUUUUUUUUUUUUAAUGAAAGAUGUUACUUUAAAAAAAAAAAAAACUACACAAAUGUUAAUUACAGUUCUUAACAGCCAGUCCCUUCUACCUCUAAAGCCCUAGAUUCUAUGAUUCAAACAUAGGGUAGGGGGAAGACAAGCCCGGGCUCUCAGCCCAGUGGCUUCCAAUUGCCGGGUUCCAGCCGCUGAGCAGUCAGUUUGAGUUUCAAGGGAGAAAAGCCCCACAUGACACGAAUCCCUGAGCCCUGCGGCAGCCUCCCCGCCCCCCCAAGCACGUCCGGGCCUGGAAAAUCCCCUGCCGCGCUGAACAAACAAUGUGAACAGUUGGGGCCUGAGCAGCUGCUGGGUAUGUCAGCAGCCUGGGCUCUGGCGGGCAGGACGGCAGCCAGAGAGGCCGGUGGCUGGCUGGGGAGCCCAGAGGAGGCUCCGAUUCCCUUCCUGAAUAUUCAUGGAUCAGCAGAUGUCUGGCUUCGCCACCUCUGAGGAGCCAAGCACCCAGCAAGGUAGAACAGGGAAACCAACAGGGAUGUAGAUGAGGAGGGAACCAGCCCACCCUGGCCCAGAAGCCUGGCCACACCAACUGCCACUACGCCGGUUGCCUCCAUCCUCUCUUCUGGAUUACUACAACAGCCUCCCAAGAAGCUGGAGCUUCCUGCUUCCAGUCCCGCCCCACCGACCGAUUCUCCACACUGGCUGCAGGAGCUGAUGCAAAGCUGAUUUUAAAACUUGCCAAGGGCUCAGGCAGGCUCUCAGGCCAGAAACCUUGGUGGGACUUAUAAAGUCCUUCAGGAGCUGGGACCAGCCCCCAUCUUCA